AGAGGAGCCUGGCUGGCUACAGUCCAUGGGGUUGCAGAGUCGGACACAACUGAGCAACUAACCCCUCUGUUCCCACCACCUCAUUUGCUUCCUCUGGGUCUGAAGCAGGUGUGCUCUCUGGUCGGGGCUGGGUUCUCCAGGUACUACCAGGCUCAAGGCCUGAGAGGUCCCUGCCCUGGGCUUCCUGCCGCCUCUCUCCUCCCACCUGGCAGCGAAGCAACUCCCCUGGGCCAGGCGCUGGGGGAAGGGCUCACAGAGGGAGAGCGAUAGAAACCCUCCGUGAUGGAUUGAAGGAGACGAGACCAUUCCCGGCUGGCGGAGGAGUUGCGGCUGCAGUGACAGGUGGCGAUGUUUGUGCUCUGAACCUGCAAUCUCAGCUAAUGGGAGAGAUUGAGGAGUUUGGAAUGAGACACGGCGUGGGCCACAGCCCCACGGGCCAAGAUGCUGCUGGCAUAGGCCGCGUGGCUUCGUGGGGUUCCUGAAGGAGGGAGUGGGUGCCACAUUCCUGGGCAGGGGAGAGAAUGUCUUUGGCUGCCUAUGAGUGUCAGGAGGACCAAGCUGGAGCAGCAGGAAAAGGAAGAGAAUCUACUGUCUUUGUGCCUCUUUGAAGGCCAUGAUAUCUGGAGCUUCAGCUGCUGCUGGAGGAGUAUUUUAUCACUGCUGCUGCUGCUAAGUCACUUCAGUCGUGUCUGACUCUGUGCGAUCCCACAGACAGCAGCCCACCAGGCUCCCCCAUCCCUGGGAUUCUCCAGGCAAGAACACUGGAGUGGGUUGCCAUUUCCUUCUCCAAUGCAUGAAAGUGAAAACGUGAAAGUGAAGUCACUCAGUCGUGUCCGACUCUUAGCGACCCCACAGACUGCAGCCUACCAGGCUCCUCCGCCCAUGGGAUUUUCCAGGCAAGAGUAUUGGAGUGGGUUGCCAUUGCCUUCUCUGAUUUUAUCACUGGUAUAGUUUAAAAUCACUAGAGCAUGUUAAUAAUAAAAAGCAGGCUGACUU
ensembl:lncRNA